rnacentral:lncRNA from 1 species
GUCACUCAGACGAGGUGUUUGUUACUGAUAUAGUUAUAAGCUUUAUACUUGCGGGGCGUGACACAACUUCAGCAGCACUGACAUGGUUCUUUUAUCUCAUUGCAAAUCAUCCGGAGGCGGAGAGUAAGAUUUUAGCUGAGAUUAAUGACAAGAAUUUUGAGAAGAACUCAGAGUCUUCUGCUUAUAAUGAAGUGAAAGACAUGAUAUACACUCAUGCUGCACUUUGUGAGAGCAUGAGACUCUACCCGCCUGUUCCCACAGAUGGAAAACAAGCAAUGGAGGAUGAUGUGUUGCCGGAUGGAACACGUAUUUACAAGUAUGACAGAGUAUCUUACCAUCCUUACGCAAUGGGGCGGUCAGAGAAGCUAUGGGGGUCAGAUUGGCAAGAAUUUAGGCCUGAGAGGUGGCUUGAGAAGGAUAGCGUGACUGGAAAGUGGUGCUUUAUUGGCCGAGAUCAGUAUACUUAUCCUGUUUUUCAAGCAGGGCCAAGGGUGUGUCUUGGUAAAGAAAUGGCUUUCUUGCAAAUGAAGAGGGUGGUUGCUGGAGUUCUGCCGGCAUUCAGGGUGAUUCCGGUGAUUGAGAAAGGGAAGGAACCGGUUUAUAUAUCUUUCCUGACAGCAAAAAUGCAAGGGGGUUUUCCGGUGAGGAUUCAGAAGAGGAUUUUCUAAUACUAAACUUGAUCCGAACAAUGUAUUACCUUUGUUUUCUCUGUAGUUGUUAUCAUUAUUGGAAUGUUUAAUGUUUAAUGUAUCAUAAUCCUAAUAAAUGUGUUGUAAUUUUAUAAAACUAGCAUAAUCCUUAUAAAUGUGCUGUCCCUCUCACUCUACUGUUGUUAAUUUCACAAACCAUGAUGUGCGGAACUUAUUUUACAGUGUCUGUUUCUAGAAUGGUGAUGCUAUGCAUUCUUAAACGAUUUACAGCAUCUUCGUUCUUCAAACGAUUGCAAGGAGCUUCUUGUUUGUCGAAUGACUUAAAUGGUUUUCCUAAAUUUUAUUUGAUGUUCUGAACAUUGAAAGGAUGUGCACUAUGGUAGCUCUGUCAGCGUAGAAAUACAAUUUCACUCCAUCGAAGAAAUAUCGGGACCAUUUAGAUUAUGAUUAGAAUGAAAAUGAGAGGUACGAGAAUAAGAAUAAAUGAAAAUGAUACUAUAAAAUCUUAAAUAUGGUUAAAGAAUGAUUCAGAGAAUGAGACUUCACAUAUGAGUUUCAAUUCUCUUUAAUCAUACGUUUUCUUAAUCUGUCUUAAGGAGUAUCAUAAAACAAAAAAAAAUGGCCGUUUGAUAAAAAUGUUCAUCUUAUCAUAUAAUAUUGCAGUUCAAAUGAAGAAAUUAUUAACAUUUAUGUAGGGCCGAUCCUUGGAUAUUUAAAAUCUCAAGAAAAAAAAAAUGUUUCAUAAUAUUGGAAAAAAGCGUAAAAUCAAUAAUAUUUAUAUCACCUCAAACAAAUGAAAAAAAAUAUUCUAACAAAUCAAUAUUUUAGCAAAGGGAACAAUAGUAGAUAUAGAAUAUUAUAGAAUCAUCUUUAAUUAAUUAUUCUUAAAAAAAUUACAUUUACUUAUUUUUAAAAAUAAGGUGAACCAAUCACGGGGAUAUAGAUCAAGGAUGUGAGGGACCUGCUACAAUAUGUAUAUUUAAACGUGUUCUGUUUUUUAUCUGGCAUUUGACUCGUAAGAAGUAUAAUAUGACUUGUGUGCCGUAUCGCUGGUGCAGGUCUGGUCUUCGAACCUUUUUCGUGCCUGCUUCUUUCAUAAUGAGAUGUUCUGAGCUUCUUCGAAUCUGCUUCUUUCACACUAAAAGAUUCUUCAUUGAAUAGUAAGAUUAAAACACACCUCACUUGCUUACAUUAUCAAUACAUCAUCUGAUAGCACCUGCAACUUCACUGCUCUAUAAAUAUCGGCUGCAGAGCCAAACAUAACCACUCAUCUUCUAAAUAUCACAAAUAUUUCAUCACCAUGUUAGCUGAUCUAAAUCUCUCCACUUCACUGUUAUAUUGCCUCGCAACAUUUCUCACCUUAUAUGCAAUCACAAACUUCAACUCCAUUCGCAGAGGCCUGUUCCCUUCGAAACAAAGCAAGCUCCCCAGAUCAUUUCCGCUCAUUGGAUCAUACUUAUCACUUAUCAAACACAUUCAUCAUUUCAGCGAUUGGUCUGCAACUAUAGUGAAUUCUCAGCCCUCUUCGACGUUUAUUCUCCACCGCGCUCUAGGCCAACGCAUGGUCAUUACUGCGAAUCCAGCUAACGUGGAGCACAUACUUAAAACCAAUUUUCAUGUCUAUCAGAAGGGCACUUCUGUGACAGCGCUGGCCUAUGAUUUUCUAGGACGUGGCAUUUUUAACGUCGAUGGAGAUUGGUGGAAGUUUCAGAGGCAAGUUGCUAGCCAUGAAUUCAAGACUAAAUCUUUAAGGAAUUUUGUGGAGACGGUGGUUGAUACGGAGCUUUCAAACCGCCUUCUGCCCCUCAUGAAAAACGCGGCUGUGGAAGAAAUUGUUCUUGAUUUUCAGGACAUACUUUUCAGAUUUGCUUUUGACAACAUUUGUAACAUCGCUUUUGGCUAUGAUCCUGAGUAUCUAUUGCCUUCUCUGCCUGAGGCGAAAUUCGCUGUUGCAUUUGAGAACACUACAAUGCUUAUUACCAAAAGGUUUAGGCAAAUUUCACCGUUAGUUUGGAAGAUUCUAAAGUUUUUCAACACGGGGUUUGAGAAAGAACUGAAAAAUUCUGUUGAAGAGGUUCGCGAGUUUGCUAGAAAAGUCUUGAGGGAGAAAAAGAAAGAACUAGACGAAAAAUCAGAGUUACAAACUGAUGAUCUUUUAUCAAGAUUCUUGAGCUCCGGUCACUCAGACGAGGUGUUUGUUAUAGAUAUUGUCAUAAGUUUCAUACUUGCUGGCCGUGACACGACUUCAGCAGCACUGACAUGGUUCUUUUAUCUCAUUGCAAAUCAUCCGGACGCAGAGAGCAAGAUUUUAGCUGAGAUUAAUGACAAGAAUUUUGAGAAGAACUCGGAGUCUUCUGCUUAUAAUGAAGUGAAAGACAUGAUGUACACUCAUGCGGCACUUUGUGAGAGUAUGAGACUUUAUCCGCCUGUUCCAACAGACGGAAAACAAGUGAUGG